rnacentral:lncRNA from 10 species
UGCCAGAGCAUCUGAAGCAAGGCUGGGACUGCUGCUGGCCGGCUCACACCAGGCCUCAUCAGCCCAAUACCUUUUUCAUCAGUUCCCCUUUACUUUCAGCAUUCAGUGCACGUUUCUGUUGCUUGCAACCAAAAGUCCUGGGUGAACAAAUUCCCUGCCCAGAACAGCAAGUGCAGUAAGACACCAUGACAGGAGCGGGAGGGAAGGCCUUUGCUAUGAGCUCUCCAUUACCAGUUUGGGCUUGAGGGGUGUGAUUUGGACCCAUGGUAUAAACCAAUUGUGGAACUGGAUUUUAGGAGGAGGCUUGAAGACAUGUUAUGUACUUACUGUAUCUUAAUUUUUGUUCUUUGGUUGUAAAAUGGCUUAGCGAUGAUUAAUGACUUAGGAUUUUUCGACAAAAUCUACGGAUUUCCCAACAUUUGGCAGAGGGAAGAACUUUAGCACCCGAGCCCCCGGGCUGGGGGAGGUGGUCCUGGGCUGGAAACAGAGGAAGAAAAAGGCGAGGGGAGAAGCACGGGGAACUGUUUCUCUUCUUCCUUGGAAAGCAAAAAAAUUUUGGAUUCCUU